CGUGGGGUUUGAGCUGUGUCUGCUCAUGGAAACACCAAGUCCUUAACCCACUGAGUGAGAUCCGGGAUCCAACCCGUAUUCUCAUAUAUACUAGCUGGGUUUAUAACCACUGAGCCGCAACGGGAACUCCUCAAUGCAGGCUUAUGGUUUUAUUUCUUUUACGUUUAUUUUAGUAUUUAUUUGUUUAUGGCCACACCCUUGGUGUAUGGAAGUUCCUGUGCCAGAGAUUGAAUCCGACCUAUGCUACAGUUGUGGCAGUGCUGGAUCCUUUAACUCACUGUGCAGGGCGGGGUAUUGAACCUGCACCUCUGCAGCAUCCCCAGAUUCUUAACCCACUGUGCCCUAUAUGGAGUUCUUAUUUCUUUUAAGUUUAAAUCAUUGCUUAAUCAGGACUUAAUUUUGGUAUUAGGAAUGGGGUAGACAUCCAAUAAAAUUGUUUCUGUGAUAAAAUAUAUUAACAGUGUGCCAUUCUAACCAUUUUUCAGUACACAAUCCAGUGUCCUUCCAUUUACACUGUUGUGCAACCUUCACACUAUUUGCAAAACCCUUUCUGCUCCCCAGAGAGGAACUCUGUCCCCAUUAAGCUGUCUCCCCUCCUCCCCCAACCCUGGUAACCUCUACUCCACUUUCUAGCUCUGUGAAUUUGCUUACUCUAGGUACCUCAUACAAGUGGAUUCAUACAAUAUUUGUCUCUUUGUGUCUGGAUUAUUUCACUUACCGUAAUGUUGGUAAGGUUGAACCAUGUCAGGGCGCACAUCACGCAUUCCUUCUUAUGGCUGACUAAUAUUUUGUUUCUCCAUCACUUAAGGGACAUUGGAUUGUUUCCGCCUUUUGGCUAUUGUGAAUAAUGCUCCUGUGAACAUUGGCAUGCAAAUAUCUGUUGACGUUCCUGUUUUUAAUUCUUUUGGUUUGGACCCAGAAGUGAAGGUGCUGGAUAAUGUCAUAGUUCUGUGUUGAGUCUUUGAGGAACUGUUAGACUAUUUUCCACAGUGGCUGCAACAUUUUACAUUCCCACCAGCAGUGUUUGGGAAUUCUGAUUUCUUCACAUCCUCACUAACACUUGUUAUUUUCCAUUUUUAAAUUGAUGGUCUUGCCAGGCUAGGGGUCCAAUCAGCUACAGCUGCUGGCCUACACCACAGCCAUAGCAAUGCUGUGGGAUCUGAGCUGUGUUUGUGACCUUUACCACAGCUCAUGGCAACACGGGAUCCUUAACUCACUGAGCAAGGCCAGGGAUUGAGCCCACGUCCUCAUGGAUACUGAGCCACGACAGGAGCUCCUUAUUUAUUAUUGUUAUUAUUAUUUUCCUUUUUUUCUUUUUAUGGCUGCACUCCUGGCAUAUGAAGAUUCCCAAGCUAGGGAUCCAAUUGGAGCUACAGCUGCCGGCCUAAGCCACAGCCACAGAAACGCAGGAUCCGAGCCACGUCUUCAACCUACACCACAGCUAACGCAAUGCCGGAUCCUUAACCCACUGAGUGAGGCCAGGGAUUGAACCCGCAUCCUCAUGGUUCCUAGUCAGAUUCGUUUCUGCUGCACCACGAUGGGAACUCCAGAAGCUCCUUAUUUUUCUUAAAAAAUUUUUUCUUAAUUAAAAGAAUUUUUUUUGGCUGCACCCAUUGCAUGUGGAAGUUUCUGGGCCAGUGAUCAAACCCGCACCACAGCAGUGACAAUGCCAGAUCCUUAACCUACUAGGCCACCAGGGAACCCCAAGAGUUUACUUUUUUUAAGAGCAGUUUCAGUUUCACAGCAGAAUUGUGAGGAAGAUAGAGAGAUUUCUCAUAUACCUUCUGCCUCUACAUAUGUACAACCUCCGCUGUUAUCUACACCUACACUGGGUGGUGCAUUUGUUACAGUCCAUGAACCUACAUUGACACAUAAUCACCGAAAUCCAUAGUUUACAUUAAGGUUCACACUUGGUGUUGCACACUCCCUGAGUUACGACCAAUAUGUUGUAUGAUGUGUAUCCCUCAUUAAGGCAUCAUGCAGAGUGUUUUCACAAAUCAUCUGUGCUCCUCAUCAUCCUUCCUCUCCACCAGCCCCUGACAACCACUGAUCUUUUUCACAGUUUUGCCUUUUCCAGAUUGUUACAGAGUUGGAAUUAAACAGUGGGCAGCCUUUCACAUUGGGUUCUUUCACUUAGUAAAAUGCAUUUAAAGUUUUUCCAGUUUUUUCGUGGGUUGAUAGCUCAUUUCUUUUUCACACUGAUUAGUAUUCCUUUGUCUCCGUGUUUCAGUUUAUUUAUCCGUCCACUCUCCGAAGGACUUCCUAGUUUUGGCAGUUACGCGUAAAGCAUCUAUGUGCAUGUUUUUAUAUGGACAUGGUUUUCAACUCCUGUGGGUAAACCCAAAGAGCAGGUGUUCCCUGGUGGCUCAGUGGAUUAAGGAUUCGGUGUUGUCACUGUUGUGGCGAGCAUUCAGUCCCUGGUCCUGGAACUUUGCAUGCUGCGAAGAUGUGGCAAAAAAAAAAAAAAAAAAAAAAAA
ensembl:lncRNA